rnacentral:tRNA from 1 species
AGGGCGGAAGCUACUAAGCAGUUAGCUGUUACCUAUCCAUAAGUGAAACUUAUCACCCACCCUA